GACGAACGCUGGCGGCGUGCCUAAUACAUGCAAGUUGAGCGCUGAAGGUUGGUACUUGUACCAACUGGAUGAGCAGCGAACGGGUGAGUAACGCGUGGGGAAUCUGCCUUUGAGCGGGGGACAACAUUUGGAAACGAAUGCUAAUACCGCAUAAAAACUUUAAACACAAGUUUUAAGUUUGAAAGAUGCAAUUGCAUCACUCAAAGAUGAUCCCGCGUUGUAUUAGCUAGUUGGUGAGGUAAGGCUCACCAAGGCGAUGAUACAUAGCCGACCUGUGAGGGUGAACGGCCACAUUGGGAAUGGGACACGGCCCAAACUGCUGAGGGAGGCAGCAGUAGGGAAUCUUCGGCAAUGGGCGAAAGUCAGACCGAGCAACGCCGGGUGAGUGGAGAAGGUUUUCGGAUCGUAAAAAUCGGUUGGUGGAGGAGAACGUUGGUGGGAGUGGAAAGCUCAUAAAGUGACGGUAACUACCCAGAAAGGUACGGCUAACUACGUG
rnacentral:rRNA from 1 species